rnacentral:rRNA from 1 species
CGGCGCAACGAUAGCACGUUAAAUGUACCAGUUCCCGAUGGAUCACUAAAGUUAAACAGCGUUGCGCGUGGUUGGUACUGUGAUAAUGCGGGUAGCUUGUCACCGA